UAAAUAAAAAUUCAAAAUAACCAAUUAUCUCCGAUGAUAAAAAUACAAAUAAAACGUUUUCGCAGUGAUCUAAAUAUAAAAUCUUGAUAUUUAAAGGUUAUUUUUGGUCCCUGAUUUAUAUGCAUAGUUUUUAAUAAUGUGUACAUAUGCCAAGUUAUAUCAGAUACUUUACUUUGUAUGUAGAACAAUAUGAAAGGAUCCCAAUAAAAAAUUUAAGUGCUGAUAUUUUAAGCGCCACCCUAAUUUGUAUAAUAACGAACUCACAAAGGCGGAUUUUGUUUAGUUUAAAAUUAAAAAAAGUACCAUAAAAACACCGAAAACCCACAACUAUGGGUGCUUGAAAUUUUCCAAUAUCGCUCAAAGCCGUAUUCACAGCACAUAGUAGUAUUGACAACGAUUUAGCUAUCGAAUUUUUAUUCACAGUUGUGAUAAAAGCUAUGAUAAAAAUUGUAUUGUUUCUGUAGAAGAAAAAAAGUUUUCGAUUUUACUGCGCAUCUACAUGCAAAAGUAAUUCUAAAAAUUUAAAAAAUGUUUUAAAAUGGGAUUUACAUGUUUUUUUUUAGUAUAGAAUAUGCUAUAUUUAAAAAAAAGUAAUGAGUAUAAAAUAAACGAAAGGAAAACUGUCAAUACUGUGGAUCAAAGGGGCGCUAUUCAAGUGGCCGGCACUGUAGGUGUUCGUAAAUUUUAUUGAUUAUAAAUCGAUUACAGUUAGAAAUAAUGAAAAAUUUUGUUUACAAUUAAAGGGGGAAAAAAUCAGAAGUAAUUAAUAGAAAAAAUAAAUCCAUUUUCAUUUCAUAAAAUUAAUUUUGAUCAUACCCUUUUCAACUGAUACGGAAAAGUUCUUUAUUUUACAAGGUAAAAAUAACCAAAAUUAAAUAGUCAAUGGCAAGAUUUUAUUAUUCCUAAUAAUUUUUUUUUUUAAUAGCCUAUGCCCAUUAUUAUUUAUUCAGUGAAUGAUCCUAAAUUUAGUAAAUUACUUAUCGUAGUUAAAAUUCAAAAUCUGUUUUUAGUUAACUGAAAAUAUAGCGCUCAUUAUUUUGGGUUUUCUAAAAAUGUCUACAAUAAAAAUAUGCACAUAUAUAGUACAUAUGUAUGUACAUAAGUAUUUGAAAGUGAAGCUGACGCAAAUCCGACCAGAUUUCUGAGGAAGAAUGUUCAAGAAAAUCGCUCAUAACAACUUCGUUAAAAAAUCGUUUGAAGUCUUUGCAUGCUAGUGAAUAUGAAGGCUAUAUAUAUGUAUGAAGAUUAAUACUGUUAAACCGGCCCUCAGGCUUACCUUUAGCAGUACAGCUGGGAGCUCCAUCCGGAUAUCCGGAUUUUCGAAUCCAAACAUUAACAAUUAUUUGUGUAUUCGAUUCGCCAUACUCUUCCGCGAAAUUAUUCGAUUGUUUCACGUACUGUGUGGCACGUAGCCCCUUCUUGUUGAAACCAGUUGUUGUCAAGAUCAACUCCUUCAAAUUGCGGCCAAAAAAGUCGGCGAUCAUCAAUCUAUACCGCUUUCCAUUGACAGAGACGAUGCCACCAGCUUCAUUUUGGAAGAAGUACGGACCGAUGAUUCCACCUGACCACCAAAAAACCACACAGUUUUAACGGACAAAGUUUAUUUUGAUAAUAAAAUUGAAUGACUUGGAAAUUUCAAAAUACAUGAAACAAUCAAUACAUUCACAAAACUAUGGGCCUGAUAUAGUGAAACUGGUUUUUCUCUCUGACGUCAGAAUUUUUUCAACGGACUUUGUAGUUUCCAAUACAUACAUAAGUAUAUAUUUAAUUCAAAAAAUUAUU